rnacentral:lncRNA from 1 species
GUGAGCUGGGAGCACGGUCCGAGAGAGACUUAUCAGUGCUCCCCAGAGAGGUAGUUAAGCCCAGGUAGCGUUUAGUAGAGAGUCCUUAGUAACCUGGAACUCCCCUGGACCUAACUAUACAAGCUCACUGCAGGGGAGGAGGGAAAAGCAGGGGAGGGGCUGCAGACAGGGAGAGCAUGGUCUGCCUGCCGGUCCUGGUCAAGUGGUAGUGCUGUAGAUCUGGGUCUCUCUACCGAGUAUGCCGAGAACUACAGGUCCCAGGAUGGAGUCAGUUGGGAAAUAUCAGCUGUAUACUCAUGAUGUCCUGAAUCAGAGGCGUGGAUACCUUACAGCCUGGACACACCUGCACCUAUGUGUUCAGAAGCUUGAAAGCUUCCUGCAUUGAUGAAGUUUGGAUGGACUGCUCAGACGCACUGACCCAGGAAGGAGAGGAGCUGGCUGUGGCAGGCGCUGGAGGCCAGAACUGGAGCGUGAAAACCAUGCUCACGGUAUCAACUGCUUACACCUCUUUCCUUGUUUCAUUUCUUCAGUCUCCACUGUGACAUCAAGGGAGGACUGAGGAAGCAGGGACAAGUGGCCCUCAUUGAGUCCCCUCCCUGGUUUAGGCAGGCUCUCCACUAAUAUGCCCGUUGGUCUUUCUCCUCGCCUCUUGCAUAUACAGUCAGCCAGACCCCACCCAAAUCUACUAAAAAUCCCCCACCUCACUUUGGGAGGGGGGUCUCCU